CCAAACACUAUGAUAAGAAGAGUACGUUCCGACAGAACUUUUUAGAGAACCCAGUAACUUGCUGCAAAUGGGGAAGGAUGUCGAGCUGAAGAUGGUCUUGGAGUGGAAUGAUGCAAACAAUGAUUAGAUUCAUUUUAGCUUAUUCCGGGUGCACCCGUUACAGUGCCUCAGUUACAUUAAGAUGCAAUAAUCUUUUUAGACUGAAUGAGGUAAAACCAGUGAUGGUUUUAUAAACUAAGGUGGUAACACGAAAGAGCUAAUGGCUUUCGUCCUUAAA
rnacentral:ncRNA from 1 species